rnacentral:rRNA from 1 species
CCUACGGGAGGCAGCAGUGAGGAAUAUUGGUCAAUGGCCGGAAGGCUGAACCAGCCAAGCCGCGUGAAGGACGAAGGUGCCAAGCAUUGUAAACUUCUUUUGUCAAGGGACAAAAUCAGGCUCGAGAGCCUGACCGAGGGUACUUGAAGAAAAAGCAUCGGCUAACUCCGUGCCAGCAGCCGCGGUAAUACGGAGGAUGCGAGCGUUAUCCGGAUUGAUUGGGUUUAAAGGGUGCGGAGGCGGAGUGUUAAGUCAGCGGUAAAAGCCCGGGGCUCAACCCCGGCGAGCCGUUGAAAAUGGCUGUCUUGAGAUGUCGAGAGGUAUGCGGAAUGCGCAGUGUAGCGGUGAAAUGCUUAGAUAUUGCGCAGAACUCCGAUUGCGAAGGCAGCAUACCGGCGGCGAUCUGACGCUGAGGCACGAAAGCGUGGGUAUCGAACAGGAUUAGAUACCCUUGUAGUC